UUGGGAGAAUGUAUAGUUGUCCCAGACAACCUAGCCUCGGCUAGAUUAUCUUUACGUAGUAUAAUACUCGCUCAAGUUUAGAAGUAAAGAUAAUACCAACUACGCUUGGUUAAAGUUCUAGAUAGAAGACUGAUAAUGACAAUUUUUUAUCUACAUGUCUUGACCAAAUUACGUGCCAGCCGUCGCGGUAAUACGUAGAAGACUAGUGUUAUUCGUCUUGAAUAGGUUUAAAGGGUACCUAGACGGCAUUAUUAACCUUAAAUAAGGAAAUGUUUUUGCUAGAGUUUUAUAUGAGAAGGGGAGAAUUUAUAGAGUAGAGUUAAAAUGCUGUCAUACUAUAAGGACUGGUAAUGGCGAAAGCGACCUUUUAUCUAAAAACUGACGUUGAGGGACGGAGGCUUGGGGAGCGAAUAGGAUUAGAUACCCUAGUAGUCCUAGCAGAAAAUGAUGAAUGCCAUAGACUAGGUAUUAAUUUGGUUUAUAAAUGAAAGUGUAAGCAUUCCACCUCACGAGUAAUGUGGCAACGCAGGAACUGAAAUCAUUAGACCGUUUCUGAGAACAGUAGUGAAGUAUGUUAUUUAAUUCGAUAACCCACGAAAAACCUUACCACAACUUGAAUAUUUCACUCGUAUGGUUAAGGAUCCUAGAUUCUUAAGAGCAAGAAAUGUUGAAAUAUAUUUAACUGUAGACAUACAUUUAUAUGUUGAAAUACAUUUAAGACGAGUGAAUUACAAGCGUUGCACGGUUGUCUUUAGCUAAUGUCGUGAGAUUUUGGUUAGUUCCAUAAAAUUAGCGUAAACCCCGGCUUUAUUUUUAAAUUAAAAAUUAUAUUAAAAAUUAUAAUUAUUGUGAUAAAGCAGUUCAUCACUAUAUUGAAUUAUUUGAUAA
rnacentral:rRNA from 1 species